rnacentral:rRNA from 1 species
CGUUAUGGUUCUAUUUUGUCGGUUUCUAGGACCAUCGUAAUGAUUAAUAGGGACGGACGGGGGUAUCAGUAUUCAGUUGUCAGAGGUGAAAUUCUUGGAUUUACUGAAGACUAACUACUGCGAAAGCAUUUACCAAGCACGUUUUCAUUAAUCAAGAACGAAAGUUAGGGGAUCGAAGAUGAUCAGAUACCGUCGUAGUCUUAACCAUAAACUAUGCCGACUAGGGAUCGGGUGUUGUUCUUUUAUUGACGCACUCGGCACCUUACGAGAAAUCAAAGCCUUUGGGUUCUGGGGGGAGUAUGGUCGCAAGGCUGAAACUUAAAGGAAUUGACGGAAGGGCACCACCAGGAGUGGAGCCUGCGGCUUAAUUUGACUCAACACGGGGAAACUCACCAGGUCCAGACACAAUAAGGAUUGACAGAUUGAGAGCUCUUUCUUGAUUUUGUGGGUGGUGGUGCAUGGCCGUUCUUAGUUGGUGGAGUGAUUUGUCUGCUUAAUUGCGAUAACGAACGAGACCUUAACCUACCAAAUAGUGCUGCUAGCUUUUGCUGGUAUAGUCACUUCUUAGAGGGACUAUCGAUUUCAAGCCGAUGGAAGUUUGAGGCAAUAACAGGUCUGUGAUGCCCUUAGACGUUCUGGGCCGCACGCGCGCUACACUGGCGGAGCCAGCGAGUUUAUACCUUGGCCGAG